AAUAAUAAUAAUAUUUUGUUAUGAUGGUUUGGUUGAAUAUAUAUAUAUAUAUAUAUAUAUAUAUAUAUAUAUAUAUAUAGUUGAGCUGGAAUGCUAUCGGUAGCAAGCGGGCUCCGUUGCCAUCCAUUUGUUUUCGAUGAUGGAGCUUUCAAAUCGACGAUCGGCCCGUUGAAAAUGAUCUAUAUCACUUGAAGUAUCUAGAAAUCAAAUUUCAAAUCUUUUUGACAUCAUUUACCGAAUGAUCAAAGGGUUUCAAAAUUAGUAAUUUUAAUGGUUGAUAUGAGUGGUUUUCUCGUUUAACAGUGUAAAGCUAUCCAAAUCAAUUAAAUUUUGGUUAGAAAAUUUUUUAAACUAUUUAGAACAAGAUCUAUACUCUCGAUCAUGAUUACAAAAUUUCUAUCAUCACUUUUUAGAGGAUAUUCAUUUUCAGCCAUUCAUUUUUACGCCCACUUGAUGGACAAGAAAAUAAUAUCGGAAAAGUAUGAAAUUUGAUUUCUAGAUACUUCAAGUAGUAUAGAU
rnacentral:lncRNA from 1 species